GUGAGGAAUAUUGGUCAAUGGACGAGAGUCUGAACCAGCCAAGUCGCGUGAAGGAAGACGGUUCUAUGAAUUGUAAACUUCUUUUGUGCAGGAAUAAAGUGGGUUACGUGUAACCUUUUGUAUGUACUGUACGAAUAAGGAUCGGCUAACUCCGUGCCAGCAGCCGCGGUAAUACGGAGGAUCCGAGCGUUAUCCGGAUUUAUUGGGUUUAAAGGGUGCGUAGGGGGAUUGAUAAGUCAGCGGUGAAAGUUUGCAGCUUAACUGUAAAAUUGCCGUUGAAACUGGCGGUCUUGAGUGCAAAUGAGGUAGGCGGAAUGUGUUGUGUAGCGGUGAAAUGCUUAGAUAUAACACAGAACUCCGAUUGCGAAGGCAGCUUACUGGGAUGCAACUGACACUGAUGCACGAAAGCGUGGGUAUCAAACAGGAUUAGAAACCCGGGUAGUCC
rnacentral:rRNA from 1 species